CCUACGGGAGGCAGCAGUGGGGAAUAUUGCGCAAUGGGCGAAAGCCUGACGCAGCGACGCCGCGUGAGGGAUGAAGGUCUUCGGAUCGUAAACCUCUGUCAGCAGGGAAGAACGGUCACUGUGCUAAUCAGCAGUGAAUUGACGGUACCUGCAAAGGAAGCACCGGCUAACUCCGUGCCAGCCGCCGCGGUAAUACGGAGGGUGCGAGCGUUAAUCGGAAUUACUGGGCGUAAAGCGCUCGUAGGCGGUAUGUCAAGUCAAGGGUGAAAUCCCCGCGCUCAACGGGGGAACGGCCUUUGAAACGGGCAAACUGGAGUGUGUGAGAGGAUAGUGGAAUUCCAGGUGGAGGAGUGAAAUCCGUAGAUAUCGGGAGGAACAUCAGUGGCGAAGGCGACUAUCUGGCACAUAACUGACGCUGAGGAGCGAAAGCGUGGGUAGCAAACAGGAUUAGAUACCCUUGUAGUC
rnacentral:rRNA from 1 species